rnacentral:lncRNA from 1 species
GAGGAUGGGCGAAUGGGUACCAUACUAGACUGGAGAACUAACUAAAAGGGCGUGGACAUAGCGACUCUUCGACGGAGUCUGCCUGGUAGAGGGAGUCUCUGGGGACGCAGAGAGGGCUCCUGAAGCUGGCAGGUUGGUCGGAAGUAGAGGAUCACAAACACGGCAGGGAAGUCUCGUCACUGCGAAAGGGACGCGGCAUCCAUCUCUGUUCGGGAACUGAGGAGAGAGAAGGAAUCCAGGAUUCCUGGGAGAGGGUUUAGAAGAAUCAACAGAACAGUUCCUUGGCAAGAAAAAUCACACUGGAGCUCAAAGCUGGGAGAAGUGUGAAGAUGGACUUUACCUCUCAGUGAGCCAGUCUCCCUCCACCCACGGGGAGAGGCCAGGAGCUAUUUUCCCUUGGACUCUCCAUUUUGCAUCUCCUCAGGAUGUACUCAAACACGGAAGAGAGGAGAUGGUCUGAGAGAAGUUACCGGGACAAGGCUUCACUCCAGAAUAGGACAAAGGAAAGAUAAGCAGGAGCAAGAAGCCCUUUCCACACUCAAGAGGAAGUAUUGUCAAUAGUCUACCAUUUGACCACUGCCCUUGCUCAGGCAUAGUAACAUUGUUUUACAGAUGUUAUUCUUUCUUAGUCCUGACAACAAAACUAUGUCAUCUCUUUUAUUGUUAUUCCAGCUUAUCCCUAAUAAAACUGAUGAUUAGAGUUUUAAAAA